rnacentral:tRNA from 1 species
GUCGUUGAGCUGCCUAAACGUGUAGUCCUACGUCCCGGGGGUCAAGGGGUCGCAGGUUCAAAUCCUGUCGUCCCGACCA